rnacentral:rRNA from 1 species
GACGAACGCUGGCGGCGUGCUUAACACAUGCAAGUCGAACGAUGAAGCCUAGCUUGCUAGGUGGAUUAGUGGCGAACGGGUGAGUAAUACGUGAGUGACCUACCUUUGACUCUGGGAUAAGCCUGGGAAACUGGGUCUAAUACCGGAUACGACCAAUCUCUGCAUGGGGUGUUGGUGGAAAGCGUUAUGGAGUGGUUUUAGAUGGGCUCACGGCCUAUCAGCUUGUUGGUGAGGUAAUGGCUUACCAAGGCGAUGACGGGUAGCCGGCCUGAGAGGGUGACCGGCCACACUGGGACUGAGACACGGCCCAGACUCCUACGGGAGGCAGCAGUGGGGAAUAUUGCACAAUGGGCGCAAGCCUGAUGCAGCGACGCCGCGUGAGGGAUGACGGCCUUCGGGUUGUAAACCUCUGUUAGCAUCGAAGAAGCGAAAGUGACGGUAGGUGCAGAGAAAGCGCCGGCUAACUACGUGCCAGCAGCCGCGGUAAUACGUAGGGCGCGAGCGUUGUCCGGAAUUAUUGGGCGUAAAGAGCUUGUAGGCGGUUGGUCGCGUCUGCUGUGAAGGCCGGGGCUUAACUCCGGUUUUGCAGUGGGUACGGGCUAACUAGAGUGCAGUAGGGGAGACUGGAAUUCCUGGUGUAGCGGUGGAAUGCACAGAUAUCAGGAGGAACACCGAUGGCGAAGGCAGGUCUCUGGGCUGUAACUGACGCUGAGAAGCGAAAGCAUGGGGAGCGAACAGGAUUAGAUACCCUGGUAGUCCAUGCCGUAAACGUUGGGCACUAGGUGUGGGGGACAUUCCACGUUUUCCGCGCCGUAGCUAACGCAUUAAGUGCCCCGCCUGGGGAGUACGGCCGCAAGGCUAAAACUCAAAGGAAUUGACAGGGGCCCGCACAAGCGGCGGAGCAUGCGGAUUAAUUCGAUGCAACGCGAAGAACCUUACCAAGGCUUGACAUGCAUUAGAUCGCGUCAGAGAUGGCGUUUCCCUUCGGGGCUGGUGUACAGGUGGUGCAUGGUUGUCGUCAGCUCGUGUCGUGAGAUGUUGGGUUAAGUCCCGCAACGAGCGCAACCCUCGUUCUAUGUUGCCAGCGGUUCGGCCGGGGACUCAUAGGAGACUGCCGGGGUUAACUCGGAGGAAGGUGGGGAUGACGUCAAAUCAUCAUGCCCCUUAUGUCUUGGGCUUCGCGCAUGCUACAAUGGCCGGUACAGAGGGUUGCGAUACUGUGAGGUGGAGCUAAUCCCUUAAAGCCGGUCUCAGUUCGGAUUGGGGUCUGCAACUCGACCCCAUGAAGUCGGAGUCGCUAGUAAUCGCAGAUCAGCAACGCUGCGGUGAAUACGUUCCCGGGCCU